GAUGAACGCUGGCGGCGUGCCUAAUACAUGCAAGUCGAGCGAAUGGAUUAAGAGCUUGCUCUUAUGAAGUUAGCGGCGGACGGGUGAGUAACACGUGGGUAAACUGCCCAUAAGACUGGGAUAACUCCGGGAAACCGGGGCUAAUACCGGAUAACAUUUUGAACAGCAUGGUUAGAAAGUGAAAGGCGGCAUCGGCUGUCACUUAUGGAUGGACCCGCGUCGCAUUAGCUAGUUGGUGAGGUAACGGCUCACCAAGGCAACGAUGCGUAGCCGACCUGAGAGGGUGAUCGGCCACACUGUGACUUAGACACGGCCCAGACUCCAACGGGAGGCAGCAGUAGGGAAUCUUCCGCAAUGGACGAAAGUCUGACGGAGCAACGCCGCGUGAGUGAUGAAGGCUUUCGGGUCGUAAAACUCUGUUGUUAGGGAAGAACAAGUGCUAGUUGAAUAAGCUGGCACCUUGACGGUACCUAACCAGAAAGCCACGGCUAACUACGUGCCAGCCGCCGCCGUAA
rnacentral:rRNA from 1 species